AUUGAACGCUGGCGGCAGGCCUAACACAUGCAAGUCGAGCGGUAGCACAGAGAGCUUGCUCUCGGGUGACGAGCGGCGGACGGGUGAGUAAUGUCUGGGAAACUGCCUGAUGGAGGGGGAUAACUACUGGAAACGGUAGCUAAUACCGCAUAACGUCGCAAGACCAAAGUGGGGGACCUUCGGGCCUCAUGCCAUCAGAUGUGCCCAGAUGGGAUUAGCUAGUAGGUGGGGUAACGGCUCACCUAGGCGACGAUCCCUAGCUGGUCUGAGAGGAUGACCAGCCACACUGGAACUGAGACACGGUCCAGACUCCUACGGGAGGCAGCAGUGGGGAAUAUUGCACAAUGGGCGCAAGCCUGAUGCAGCCAUGCCGCGUGUGUGAAGAAGGCCUUCGGGUUGUAAAGCACUUUCAGCGGGGAGGAAGGCGUUAAGGUUAAUAACCUUGGCGAUUGACGUUACCCGCAGAAGAAGCACCGGCUAACUCCGUGCCAGCAGCCGCGGUAAUACGGAGGGUGCAAGCGUUAAUCGGAAUUACUGGGCGUAAAGCGCACGCAGGCGGUCUGUCAAGUCGGAUGUGAAAUCCCCGGGCUCAACCUGGGAACUGCAUUCGAAACUGGCAGGCUAGAGUCUUGUAGAGGGGGGUAGAAUUCCAGGUGUAGCGGUGAAAUGCGUAGAGAUCUGGAGGAAUACCGGUGGCGAAGGCGGCCCCCUGGACAAAGACUGACGCUCAGGUGCGAAAGCGUGGGGAGCAAACAGGAUUAGAUACCCUGGUAGUCCACGCCGUAAACGAUGUCGAUUUGGAGGUUGUGCCCUUGAGGCGUGGCUUCCGGAGCUAACGCGUUAAAUCGACCGCCUGGGGAGUACGGCCGCAAGGUUAAAACUCAAAUGAAUUGACGGGGGCCCGCACAAGCGGUGGAGCAUGUGGUUUAAUUCGAUGCAACGCGAAGAACCUUACCUGGUCUUGACAUCCACAGAACUUUCCAGAGAUGGAUUGGUGCCUUCGGGAACUGUGAGACAGGUGCUGCAUGGCUGUCGUCAGCUCGUGUUGUGAAAUGUUGGGUUAAGUCCCGCAACGAGCGCAACCCUUAUCCUUUGUUGCCAGCGGUUCGGCCGGGAACUCAAAGGAGACUGCCAGUGAUAAACUGGAGGAAGGUGGGGAUGACGUCAAGUCAUCAUGGCCCUUACGACCAGGGCUACACACGUGCUACAAUGGCAUAUACAAAGAGAAGCGACCUCGCGAGAGCAAGCGGACCUCAUAAAGUAUGUCGUAGUCCGGAUUGGAGUCUGCAACUCGACUCCAUGAAGUCGGAAUCGCUAGUAAUCGUAGAUCAGAAUGCUACGGUGAAUACGUUCCCGGGCCUUGUACACACCGCCCGUCACACCAUGGGAGUGGGUUGCAAAAGAAGUAGGUAGCUUAACCUUCGGGAGGGCGCUUACCACUUUGUGAUUCAUGACUGGGGUGA
rnacentral:rRNA from 1 species